AGAGUUUGAUCCUGGCUCAGGACGAACGCUGGCGGCGCGCCUAACACAUGCAAGUCGAACGGAGUAAUUUUUUUCACUCCGAACCCUUAGCUUGAAGCUGAAAGGUGAGCGUCAAUCAACGCGAAGCGUUGAUUUAGGCUUAUUUAGUAAGACUAACACCAAGCGGAGGGCUGGGAGUGAAGAAAAUUACUUAGUGGCGAACGGGUGAGUAACGCGUGAGUAACCUGCCCUGGAGUGGGGGACAACAGUUGGAAACGACUGCUAAUACCGCAUAAGCCCACGGUGCCGCAUGGCACAGCGGGAAAAGGAUUUAUUCGCUUCAGGAUGGACUCGCGUCCAAUUAGCUGGUUGGUGAGGUAACGGCCCACCAAGGCGACGAUUGGUAGCCGGACUGAGAGGUUGAACGGCCACAUUGGGACUGAGACACGGCCCAGACUCCUACGGGAGGCAGCAGUGGGGGAUAUUGCACAAUGGGGGAAACCCUGAUGCAGCGACGCCGCGUGGAGGAAGAAGGUUUUCGGAUUGUAAACUCCUGUCGUACGGGACGAUAAUGACGGUACCGUACAAGAAAGCCACGGCUAACUACGUGCCAGCAGCCGCGGUAAAACGUAGGUGGCAAGCGUUGUCCGGAAUUACUGGGUGUAAAGGGAGCGCAGGCGGGGCGGCAAGUUGGAAGUGAAAUCUAUGGGCUCAACCCAUAAACUGCUUUCAAAACUGCUGGUCUUGAGUAGUGCAGAGGUAGGCGGAAUUCCCGGUGUAGCGGUGGAAUGCGUAGAUAUCGGGAGGAACACCAGUGGCGAAGGCGGCCUACUGGGCACCAACUGACGCUGAGGCUCGAAAGCAUGGGUAGCAAACAGGAUUAGAUACCCUGGUAGUC
rnacentral:rRNA from 1 species